rnacentral:rRNA from 1 species
CCUACGGGCGGCUGCAGUGGGGAAUAUUGGACAAUGGGGGGAACCCUGAUCCAGCCAUGCCGCGUGUGUGAAGAAGGCCCUCGGGUUGUAAAGCACUUUCAGUGAGGAAGAACGCCUGGUGGUUAAUACCCAUCAGGAAAGACAUCACUCACAGAAGAAGCACCGGCUAACUCCGUGCCAGCAGCCGCGGUAAUACGGAGGGUGUGAGCGUUAAUCGGAAUUACUGGGCGUAAAGCGCGCGUAGGUGGCUUGAUAAGCCGGUUGUGAAAGCCCCGGGCUCAACCUGGGAACGGCAUCCGGAACUGUCAAGCUAGAGUGCAGGAGAGGAAGGUAGAAUUCCCGGUGUAGCGGUGAAAUGCGUAGAGAUCGGGAGGAAUACCAGUGGCGAAGGCGGCCUUCUGGACUGACACUGACACUGAGGUGCGAAAGCGUGGGUAGCAAACAGGAUUAGAUACCCUUGUAGUC